GGAUUAGAUACCCUGGUAGUCCACGCCGUAAACGAUGCACACUAGCAAUAUGGAGUAUCGACCCUCUGUGUUGCGAAGCUAACGCGUUAAGUGUGCCGCCUGGGGAGUACGAGCGCAAGCUUAAAACUCAAAGGAAUUGACGGGGACCCGCACAAGCAGUGGAGGAUGUGGUUUAAUUCGAAGCUACGCGAAGAACCUUACCGAGGCUUGACAUCCCAGGAAGGCUGCCGAAAGGUGGCUGUGCCUUCGGGAACCUGGUGACAGGUGCUGCAUGGCCGUCGUCAGCUCGUGCCG
rnacentral:rRNA from 1 species